rnacentral:lncRNA from 1 species
CCGCUACAGUUACUAAUUCCUAAGGAAUACGCGUUAAAUAGAAUUAGGGUUUCAUGUUGCCCAGUCCCACUCAGAAAGCUUCUAUUUAAAGACCUUAUGAACCCUGUGUGAUUGUACAGAAAAUACGAACGUUGAAGUGAGUGAGUGUAAGACCCUAAUUUUGACCCUAAUAUCCCUCAUGGCAUCAUAUCAUUGCACUUUGCAUUUGCCUUAAGGAUCAUAGCAUCUUGGCUCCUUAACCUUGGGGUUGGGACUUGUGAGUUGGUUUGAGACCACCAAGCAUGCUUGAAUUGUAUAUUAUUGAUUUUCUUUUUUUUUUUGUGUACUAACCAAAAGCACAAAAAUAUGUCACUAACUUGUUUUGUUUUGUAGCUUGAGCAAUCAUGUGAUCUAAGGCUCCUAGGAGACCCUUAUGCUCAUUGAAAUGGCCAGAUGAAGUGAAAGCAAGC